rnacentral:rRNA from 1 species
GACGUAGGGCGCGAGCGUUGUCCGGAUUUAUUGGGCGUAAAGAGCUCGUAGGCGGCUUGUCGCGUCGGCUGUGAAAUCCCGUGGCUCAACUGCGGGUCUGCAGCCGAUACGGGCAGGCUAGAGUUCGGUAGGGGAGACUGGAAUUCCUGGUGUAGCGGUGAAAUGCGCAGAUAUCAGGAGGAACACCGAUGGCGAAGGCAGGUCUCUGGGCCAUAACUGACGCUGAGACGCGAAAGCGUGGGGAGCGAACAGG